AUUCAUGGCUCAGAUUGAACGCUGGCGGCAGGCUUAACACAUGCAAGUCGAGCGGAAACGAUGAUAGCUUGCUAUCAGGCGUCGAGCGGCGGACGGGUGAGUAAUACUUAGGAAUCUACCUAGUAGUGGGGGAUAGCACGGGGAAACUCGUAUUAAUACCGCAUACGACCUACGGGAGAAAGGGGGCAGUUUACUGCUCUCGCUAUUAGAUGAGCCUAAGUCGGAUUAGCUAGAUGGUGGGGUAAAGGCCUACCAUGGCGACGAUCUGUAGCUGGUCUGAGAGGAUGAUCAGCCACACCGGGACUGAGACACGGCCCGGACUCCUACGGGAGGCAGCAGUGGGGAAUAUUGGACAAUGGGGGAAACCCUGAUCCAGCCAUGCCGCGUGUGUGAAGAAGGCCUUUUGGUUGUAAAGCACUUUAAGCAGUGAAGAAGACUCCGUGGUUAAUACCCACGGACGAUGACAUUAGCUGCAGAAUAAGCACCGGCUAACUCUGUGCCAGCAGCCGCGGUAAUACAGAGGGUGCAAGCGUUAAUCGGAAUUACUGGGCGUAAAGGGAGCGUAGGUGGCUCGAUAAGUCAGAUGUGAAAUCCCCGGGCUCAACCUGGGAACUGCAUCUGAUACUGUUGAGCUAGAGUAUGUGAGAGGAAGGUAGAAUUCCAGGUGUAGCGGUGAAAUGCGUAGAGAUCUGGAGGAAUACCGAUGGCGAAGGCAGCCUUCUGGCAUAAUACUGACACUGAGGCUCGAAAGCGUGGGUAGCAAACAGGAUUAGAUACCCUGGUAGUCCACGCCGUAAACGAUGUCUACUAGUCGUUGGGUCCCUUGAGGACUUAGUGACGCAGCUAACGCAAUAAGUAGACCGC
rnacentral:rRNA from 1 species